CCUACGGGAGGCAGCAGUGGGGAAUAUUGGACAAUGGGGGGAACCCUGAUCCAGCCAUGCCGCGUGUGUGAAGAAGGCCCUCGGGUUGUAAAGCACUUUCAGUGAGGAAGAACGCCUGGUGGUUAAUACCCAUCAGGAAAGACAUCACUCACAGAAGAAGCACCGGCUAACUCCGUGCCAGCAGCCGCGGUAAUACGGAGGGUGCGAGCGUUAAUCGGAAUUACUGGGCGUAAAGCGCGCGUAGGUGGCUUGAUAAGCCGGUUGUGAAAGCCCCGGGCUCAACCUGGGAACGGCAUCCGGAACUGUCACGCUAGAGUGCAGGAGAGGAAGGUAGAAUUCCCGGUGUAGCGGUGAAAUGCGUAGAGAUCGGGAGGAAUACCAGUGGCGAAGGCGGCCUUCUGGACUGACACUGACACUGAGGUGCGAAAGCGUGGGUAGCAAACAGGAUUAGAUACCCGUGUAGUC
rnacentral:rRNA from 1 species